CGCAGGGGCCGCGGCCAGCCGGGCGCUGCAGCAGUGCGGGCAGCUACAGAAGCUCAUCGACAUCUCCAUCGGCAGCCUGCGCGGGCUGCGCACCAAGUGCGCUGUGUCCAACGACCUCACCCAGCAGGAGAUACGGACCCUGGAGGUGACUGGACUGAUGUUCUGUUCUAGAUGAAACUCCUUGAGGGGACCAUUUGAAAAGGCUUGAUGUGCUGCCCAAAGCCCCCUUCAGAGCUGACUUCACCCCCAGCUGCUGUGAGCCUUGGCCGCUGACAGCUCAUAGCUGAGUCCCUCCCAUGAAGUCACCUUCUGCUGAAGGGCACAUCCUCUCCCAAGGUGA
rnacentral:sRNA from 1 species